UACGAACUGUGCAAACGUUAUUCGGAAUCACUGGGCUUACAGGGUGCGUAGGCGGCUUGUCAAGUAGGGUGUGAAAGCCCCCGGCUCAACCGGGGAAUUGCGCCCUAAACUGGCGAGCUGGAGUGAGAUAGGGGUGUGUGGAACUUCCGGUGGAGCGGUGAAAUGUGUUGAUAUCGGAAGGAACGCCGGUGGCGAAAGCGACACACUGGAUCUUGUCUGACGCUGAGGCACGAAAGCCAGGGGAGCGAACGGG
rnacentral:rRNA from 1 species